UAGCACAAGGCUGCAGAACCAACCAAUCCCCGACUACUGAUACUCUCCUCCGCCUAACGGAGCUGGUCCUUACCCUCAACAACUUUUCUUUUGACUCCUUCCAUUUCCGUCAAAUCCAAGGCGUAGCUAUGGGCACGUGCAGAGGCC